UACGUAGGCAGCAAGCGUUGUUCGGAGUUACUGGGCGUAAAGCGUGCGCAGGCGGUCUGUUAAGACAGAUGUGAAAUCCCCGGGCUUAACCUGGGAACUGCAUUUGUGACUGGCAGGCUAGAGUAUGGCAGAGGGGGGUAGAAUUCCACGUGUAGCAGUGAAAUGCGUAGAGAUGUGGAGGAAUACCGAUGGCGAAGGCAGCCCCCUGGGCCAAUACUGACGCUCAUGCACGAAAGCGUGGGGAGCAAACAGG
rnacentral:rRNA from 1 species